rnacentral:rRNA from 1 species
CCUACGGGAGGCAGCAGUGGGGAAUAUUGGGCAAUGGACGAAAGCCUGACCCAGCAACGCCGCGUGAAGGAAGAAGGUUUUCGGGUUGUAAACUUCUUUUCUAAGGGACGAAGCAAGUGACGGUACCUUAGGAAUAAGCCACGGCUAACUACGUGCCAGCAGCCGCGGUAAUACGUAGGUGGCAAGCGUUAUCCGGAUUUACUGGGGGUAAAGGGCGCGUAGGCGGGUAAGCAAGUCAGAUGUGAAAACCCAGGGCUCAACCUGUGGACUGCAGUUAAAACUGUUGGUCUUGAGUGCUGGAGAGGCAGACGGAAUUCCUAGUGUAGCGGUGGAAUGCGUAGAUAUUAGGAGGAACACCAGUGGCGAAGGCGGUUUGCUGGACAGCAACUGACGCUGAGGCGCGAAAGCGUGGGGAGCAAACAGGAUUAGAUACCCGGGUAGUC